UACUUUUCUUUGUCUACUUAAAUGAAAAGU
rnacentral:piRNA from 1 species